rnacentral:rRNA from 1 species
AUGAACGCUGGCGGCGUGCCUAAUACAUGCAAGUCGAGCGAACAGACGAGGGGCUUGCUCCUCUGACGUUAGCGGCGGACGGGUGAGUAACACGUGGAUAACCUACCUAUAAGACUGGGAUAACUUCGGGAAACCGGAGCUAAUACCGGAUAAUAUAUUGAACCGCAUGGUUCAAUAGUGAAAGACGGUUUUGCUGUCACUUAUAGAUGGAUCCGCGCCGCAUUAGCUAGUUGGUAAGGUAACGGCUUACCAAGGCAACGAUGCGUAGCCGACCUGAGAGGGUGAUCGGCCACACUGGAACUGAGACACGGUCCAGACUCCUACGGGAGGCAGCAGUAGGGAAUCUUCCGCAAUGGGCGAAAGCCUGAUGGAGCAACGCCGCGUGAGUGAUGAAGGUCUUCGGAUCGUAAAACUCUGUUAUUAGGGAAGAACAAAUGUGUAAGUAACUAUGCACGUCUUGACGGUACCUAAUCAGAAAGCCACGGCUAACUACGUG